CAGUGGUUUUAAGUCAGUAAGCAAGUCGUUUGUAUCAUGAAACUGUUGUGGGUUAUAUUUGUGGCAGCGGCAACGGUGCUGAGUUUCUCUUCGGUGAACGCUCACGACUACAUGCGUUUCAUGAGCAUGCAUUCAAACGCAGAAGUAAUGCCGAUGGAUGACAUGGAAUCUUCCCAGAUGGAAGUGGAUGAUGAACCUGGAGAUAUGAUGACUGGUAUGAGAGGAAUCUAUCAGCCUAACAUAGAAUGGAUUAUGUGAACAACGGUACAUAAAUGCUGACAACUGUUUCCACUAUGACAACUCAACGUUAUUUUUAGAACUAUUCCAAUUUCAUACAUAAACAUAAUAAAUAAGGAAUAUAUUAAAAUACUUGUGUGAAAAUAAAUAUAUCUUAACUAAA